rnacentral:lncRNA from 10 species
CGGCCGGCGAGCUGCCGGCUCCCGCGCGCGGGCCUCGUGGCCGGGCGGCGCUGGGGAGAGGGGCCAAGCGGGGCGCGGGGCGGCUUCAGAGGCUGCGGGGCCUGCGCUGCCGCGCUGGGCCGCGCCGAAUCAGCUCGGCCGGGCUCGUCGGACGGAGAAGGCCGUAGGGGAGUGGAGCGGCGCCCCCCCCCACACCCUCCGCCCUUGCUCUUCGUCUGCGAGGAAGCCCGGCAGUCGCCCAUCCAUUCAAGCAGUGCGGGCCUCGGGCCUCCGGCCUCGGCGCGGGCUCAGCCGCCCGGGGCUGGGCGCGGCAGCUCCGCGCCGUAGGACGAGGGGGCCUGCGAACUCGCCGGCCCUGGGCCCCGCGGCUGGCCUUUGGGCCUCACGGCUUCCUCCCUUCCCGGCGGCCGGGGGUCGGGGCGCUGGCGGUGUAUAGAGCUCACCACGUUUGCGUGGCGCCCUUCCGUCCACGCUCGUUACAGUUUCGAAUCCUCAGCGGCCCUGUGACGCGGGCGGCGCAGAGAUUCUCACCCCCAUUCCCCUAGCUGCCCUGCACCUGCCUGUUCACCCUGUUCCCUUUCCUGUGCUCUGAGUCGUGCAGUCAGUCCUUCAAGGCCCAUUGCAAGUCAUAUCUACAAAACAGGAGCCGCCUGGAUCCGCC